CUCUAGCAUAGCAACCUCCAAGAGAGGAUAAUCGUUAUCCUUUUCAGAAUGAGGCCCAAGAAAUCCUGAAUUCUCUACGCAAGGCAAUGGUCUCACAAGCGGACAACUGCCUCGGCAGAGAAAAAUGAACAGACAGGCACCAUUCCAAGAUGAAGAAUGUCCCCAAGGUGGUUUUGAGAAGGCCUGAGCAUGCAGCAAGAUGGUAAGAAUGGAUGAGAG
rnacentral:lncRNA from 1 species